rnacentral:rRNA from 1 species
CCUACGGGUGGCAGCAGUGAGGAAUAUUGGUCAAUGGACGAGAGUCUGAACCAGCCAAGUAGCGUGAAGGAUGACUGCCCUAUGGGUUGUAAACUGCUUUUAUAGGGGAAUAAAAUGUGCCACGUGUGGGAUGUUGUAUGUACCAUAUGAAUAAGGAUCGGCUAACACCGUGCCAGCAGCCGCGGUAAUACGGAGGAACCGAGCGUUAUCCGGAUUGAGUGGGGGUAAAGGGAGCGUAGGUGGAUUGUUAAGGCAGUUGUGAAAGUUUGCGGCUCAACCGUAAAAUUGCAGUUGAAACUGGCAGUCUUGAGUACAGUAGAGGUGGGCGGACUUCGUUGUGUAGCGG